AUCGUGUUCUCGUCGACGAGUUCGACUGCUCUGUGUGGAUCCAUAACGUAGUAGUCUUCUUUGAGAGUUACCUCUCGGAGCUCCACUUCGAAGUAUCUUGCGAACUUCUCCCAACACACCUACACAAACCGAACGCUGAUAUUAUCAUCCAGCUUCAGAUUUGUUGAGGUUUCCUUCAAGGCCGAACUUUCUAAUAUCAAGCCAGACUUUGCGAAAUGAAUGUUUAGUCGUAGAGUGCAAUGCACUCAAAAUGGCAAUGACCAGUGACAGAAAUCUACAGCCGUAACCUCCGCAAUUGAGUUUCUGAAGAGGUAAAGGGCUAAAACCUGAAGCUCAGUGGUAAUCGGGUACUCGUCCAUGUCAAUGUAGUUCUUGUUGAGGGCCGCCAUGAUGAGCUUGUCACACUCUGGCUCCAUCCAUGUCGUCACGAAGGAUGCUAGAUUUAAGCGAGGAUUGCCGUCCAA